rnacentral:rRNA from 1 species
AGCUAUUAUAUUUUUUAGUCAGAUCUGCUCAAUGACUGGGUUCUUAGAGGUUUAUUGAAAAUAUCAUAAAUCCUGAAUAAAGAUCUGUUAAAUAGCCUUUUAUGAAAAUGUAGCAUAAUCAGUUGUCUCUUAAUUGGGGGAUGGUAUGAAGGAAGACUACUUUUAAAUUCUAUUAUUAAAAAUUUAAAAAUUUUUAAAUUAAAUUCAAUUGAGAAAAUUGUUUAGAAACUGAAAGACGAAAAGACCCUAAAAUUUCUCCUUUUUAGGUUGGAUGGGGUAUCUAUUUUUAAAAUUUAUCUAAAAUAAUAUUAAAUUUAAUAACCUUAUAAUUUAGAAUAAAAUACUUUAGGGAUAACAGCUUAAUCCGAUUUUAUAGUACAUAUAGAUGAUCGGGUUUUUGACCUCGAUGUUGGAUUGUAAUUCCUUUGUUAUUGCAGAAGAUAGUUAAGGUGGACUGUUCGUCUAUUUAAUUUAC